GGGGGCUGCCUUUCAGGCAUCCUCUCCUAAGACUUAGUGGGCUGGUCGUUCUCGAUCGGCCCUUUUUUUUUGUUCUG
rnacentral:sRNA from 1 species